rnacentral:misc_RNA from 1 species
AGAAUCAACAAUUACAACAAGAGUUAAGUGCUGAAUUAAAUAAAGUAAACGAUAGUUUAAAAAAGAACACAAUGCAAUUGGAAGAGAUUGCUCUCGCCAAAGAAACAUUACAAGCAGAAAAAGAAGAUUUGAGAAGUAAACUUGAAGAGUUGUCAAAUCAUUAUAACACAUCCAUCAAUAAUAUGAAACAGGAAUUGAACAAAAAGACUGCAAAUUUGAUUGAC